AGAGUUUGAUCCUGGCUCANAACGAACGCUGGCGGCAGGCUUAACACAUGCAAGUCGAACGAACCGUAUCUUUCGGGAUACAAUGGUUAGUGGCGCACGGGUGAGUAACGCGUGGGAACAUACACUAGAGUACGGAAUAACCCAAGGAAACUUGGGCUAAUACCGUAUACGCCCUAAGGGGGAAAGAUUUAUCGCUCUAGAAUUGGCCCGCGUCUGAUUAGGUUGUUGGUAGGGUAAUGGCCUACCAAGCUUACGAUCAGUAGCUGGUCUGAGAGGAUGAUCAGCCACACUGGGACUGAGACACGGCCCAGACUCCUACGGGAGGCAGCAGUGGGGAAUAUUGGACAAUGGGGGCAACCCUGAUCCAGCCAUGCCGCGUGAGUGAAGAAGGCCUUCGGGUUGUAAAGCUCUUUCAGCGGGGACGAUGAUGACGGUACCCGCAGAAGAAGCCCCGGCUAACUCCCUGCCAGCAACCGCGGUAAUACGGAGGGGGCUAGCGUUGUUCGGAAUUACUGGGCGUAAAGCGCACGUAGGCGGUGUGCAUAGUCAGAGGUGAAAGCCCGGGGCUCAACCCCGGAAUUGCCUUUGAUACUUGCAUACUAGAAUCCAUGAGAGGGUAGUGGAACUCCUAGUGUAGAGGUGAAAUUCGUAGAUAUUAGGAAGAACACCA
rnacentral:rRNA from 1 species